AUUGAACGCUGGCGGCAGGCCUAACACAUGCAAGUCGAACGGUAACAGGAAGAAGCUUGCUUCUUUGCUGACGAGUGGCGGACGGGUGAGUAAUGUCUGGGAAACUGCCUGAUGGAGGGGGAUAACUACUGGAAACGGUAGCUAAUACCGCAUAACGUCGCAAGACCAAAGAGGGGGACCUUCGGGCCUCUUGCCAUCGGAUGUGCCCAGAUGGGAUUAGCUAGUAGGUGGGGUAACGGCUCACCUAGGCGACGAUCCCUAGCUGGUCUGAGAGGAUGACCAGCAACACUGGAACUGAGACACGGUCAAGACUCCUACGGGAGGCAGCAGUGGGGAAUAUUGGAAAAGGGGCGCAAGCCUGAUCCAGCCAGGCGGGGUGUAUGAAGAAGGCCUUCGGGUUGUAAAGCCCUUUCGGGGGGGAGGAAGAGAAAAAGGUUAAUACCUUGGCGUUUUGACGGUCCCCAAAGAAGAAGCCCCGGCUAACUCCGUG
rnacentral:rRNA from 1 species